AGUGAACGCUGGCGAUAGGCCUAACACAUGCAAGUCGAACGGCAGCACAGUAAGAGCUUGCUCUUACGGGUGGCGAGUGGCGGACGGGUGAGGAAUACAUCGGAAUCUACUUUUUCGUGGGGGAUAACGUAGGGAAACUUACGCUAAUACCGCAUACGACCUACGGGUGAAAGCAGGGGAUCUUCGUACCUUGCGCGAUUGAAUGAGCCGAUGUCGGAUUAGCUAGUUGGCGGGGUAAAGGCCCACCAAGGCGACGAUCCGUAGCUGGUCUGAGAGGAUGAUCAGCCACACUGGAACUGAGACACGGUCCAGACUCCUACGGGAGGCAGCAGUGGGGAAUAUUGGACAAUGGGCGCAAGCCUGAUCCAGCCAUACCGCGUGGGUGAAGAAGGCCUUCGGGUUGUAAAGCCAUUUUGUUGGGAAAGAAAAACAGCAGGUUAAUACCCCGCUGUUCUGACGGUACCCAAAGAAUAAGCACCGGCUAACUUCGUG
rnacentral:rRNA from 1 species